CGUCUCCUUAGCCCCCCCCCCGACCCGGGCGCUCCCCAGCCCAGCUCCCCCCACCCUAGGAAGAAGGCACAGCACCGUGCACAACGGGGGGGGGGGCACAAUUACGCCAGGGCGCCGAGCUCAAGCCCCCCCAGCGUCUAACGGGGGGGGGGGCAGAGCAAAUAUGAUGUACCCAGCCCCCACUUCUCUGCGGGGCCUGCAUAACACUGCACCACACUGAGACCAGGCUGAGGCUGAUGCUAAACAUCCGGAUAGCCCCAGCACCAUAGCACAGGACAGCAUGGAGAGGGACCCCAAGUAGCUACAUGCCCUGGUGCAGGGCAGCCUAGACCCUGACCUGUGUAACUGGGGACAUUACUCUCCGGCUCAGCCGAAUCUCACACACACCACAUUGGACCUGUGCCACUUGGUCAGACAGCUGAGAAGAAACCGCUCACAAUUACUGCUGGAAGGAUAGAGGCUCAGCAGGAGGAAUAGGUCAAGAUUGAGGUUAACAUUGGCUCCUACAUCUGCGUGGAUAAGGAACUGGAGUAAAAAUCCAGAACUGCUGUGUUCAGUCAAUACCCCAGCUAACUUUCCAUGAAACUUGUAGAGUAACGCAUCUCUUUGAUUUUACUGCUGGACAGAUCUCUACUUCGGAAAUUGUACAUCUGGAAUUUUAUCAGCUAUGGAUCUGUCCCUGUGGCCUACGUUCUGCACAAGUGUGCCUGGCUCCAGCCAGAAUAAAUGGAGAGGAUGGAGAUGUAAGCCAACUGUUUUCUGUAUGAGGAAAGAAGAUUUGAAGUACACCCUCUAAUCACAGUGUUGCAGUUUUCAAAACCUGUUCGGCAAACAUUUUUUGGGACUGAAUCUGGAAGAAACAAGAAAAGAGCAGCAGUAUACAAAGACAAAGUUCUAUAAGCAGUGAGGUUACCAUUUUGUCCCCAAACUCAUGUAUUACAAAUGUAUUCAUGCAAAUACACGAGUUCUGCUGUAAGUUACAGUAUGGGUUUGUACUCUGCAGAAGGUGCUGACCAAAGCAAAAUAA